rnacentral:miRNA from 1 species
CAAGAUUUUUAAGGCCAGUGGA